rnacentral:rRNA from 1 species
GGGUUGUGAGGUUAAGCGACUAAGCGUACACGGUGGAUGCCCUGGCAGUCAGAGGCGAUGAAGGGCGUGCUAAUCUGCGAUAAGCGCCGGUAAGGUGAUAUGAACCGUUAUAACCGGCGAUACCCGAAUGGGGAAACCCAGUGUGAUUCGUCACACUAUCAUUAACUGAAUCCAUAGGUUAAUGAGGCGAACCGGGGGAACUGAAACAUCUAAGUACCCCGAGGAAAAGAAAUCAACCGAGAUUCCCCCAGUAGCGGCGAGCGAACGGGGAGGAGCCCAGAGCCUGAAUCAGCAUGUGUGUUAGUGGAAGCGUCUGGAAAGGCGCGCGAUACAGGGUGACAGCCCCGUACACAAAAGCGCAUGUGCUGUGAGCUCGAUGAGUAGGGCGGGACACGUGGUAUCCUGUCUGAAUAUGGGGGGACCAUCCUCCAAGGCUAAAUACUCCUGACUGACCGAUAGUGAACCAGUACCGUGAGGGAAAGGCGAAAAGAACCCCGGCGAGGGGAGUGAAAAAGAACCUGAAACCGUGUACGUACAAGCAGUGGGAGCCCCACCACUAAGCCAGUGGUGAACUCCACAUACGCAUCCUUUGCUGAGGAUACGGUUAACGGAGCGAAAGCGACGUUCAACCUCAAAAGAAGCAGAGGGGGCUUAGUGGUGGGGUGACUGCGUACCUUUUGUAUAAUGGGUCAGCGACUUAUAUUCUGUAGCAAGGUUAACCGAAUAGGGGAGCCGGAGGGAAACCGAGUCUUAACCGGGCGUUAAGUUGCAGGGUAUAGACCCGAAACCCGGUGAUCUAGCCAUGGGCAGGUUGAAGGUUGGGUAACACUAACUGGAGGACCGAACCGACUAAUGUUGAAAAAUUAGCGGAUGACCUGUGGCUGGGGGUGAAAGGCCAAUCAAACCGGGAGAUAGCUGGUUCUCCCCGAAAGCUAUUUAGGUAGCGCCUCGUGAAUUCAUCUCCGGGGGUAGAGCACUGUUUCGGCUAGGGGGCCAUCCCGGCUUACCAACCCGAUGCAAACUGCGAAUACCGGAGAAUGUUAUCACGGGAGACACACGGCGGGUGCUAACGUCCGUCGUGAAGAGGGAAACAACCCAGACCGCCAGCUAAGGUCCCAAAGUCAUGGUUAAGUGGGAAACGAUGUGGGAAGGCCCAGACAGCCAGGAUGUUGGCUUAGAAGCAGCCAUCAUUUAAAGAAAGCGUAAUAGCUCACUGGUCGAGUCGGCCUGCGCGGAAGAUGUAACGGGGCUAAACCAUGCACCGAAGCUGCGGCAGCGACACUGUGUGUUGUUGGGUAGGGGAGCGUUCUGUAAGCCUGUGAAGGUGGCCUGUGAGGGUUGCUGGAGGUAUCAGAAGUGCGAAUGCUGACAUAAGUAACGAUAAAGCGGGUGAAAAGCCCGCUCGCCGGAAGACCAAGGGUUCCUGUCCAACGUUAAUCGGGGCAGGGUGAGUCGACCCCUAAGGCGAGGCCGAAAGGCGUAGUCGAUGGGAAACGGGUUAAUAUUCCCGUACUUGGUGUUACUGCGAAGGGGGGACGGAGAAGGCUAUGUUGGCCGGGCGACGGUUGUCCCGGUUUAAGCGUGUAGGUGUGUGUUCCAGGUAAAUCCGGUUCACUUUAACACUGAGGCGUGA